rnacentral:SRP_RNA from 1 species
GUACUAGAUGGAGAGUUAGCGGUGCUCUGUAACCCACAAUCCGCUUUAGUGGGGUUGAAUCCCAUCUGGAGGCAAUUUGUUUUUGAUGCAGUCCUAUGCAAGUAGUGUUGAUAUAUGGGUCCUAAGCAAUGGAAACUCAUGAAGUCCGUCAGGUUCGGAAGAAAGCAGCGGUAAGUGAUCAUUUUCAUGUGCCUUAGGGAAGCCUGUAAGGAGCCAACUACAUAGGCAACGGUUGGGGACAUUUGUCGAUAGAUGGUGUAC